ACAAAUGCCUUAAGAAGAUAAGAAGGCAAAUGAGAGGUAUGUUUAAAUCCUAAACAUUAGGCCUUCUUUUAUAGGGUGAAGUACCAACCCAAUUUACUUCCCAACCGAUGUGGUAUAUUGACAUAUUCAACAAUAUGGUCUUGGGCAACCCUCACCUUAUAAACUAGCUUUUGUGGUUGAGUUAGGCCCAAUGUCCAUUUAUCACAUACAAAUGUUUUUGUUGUUUCAUUGAAGAGCUGUUAAAUUAUCUAUAAAAAUGGAUUCUUUUAAAUUUCUAAACCAUAUAAUUAUCACAUUUCAUCAUUUAUUACGUCUAGUUAUCCUCAUCAUAGGCCAUAUUACCUGACUUGUAGUCGUUUAGAGAUCCUUUGAUUAAAAUGAGAAAGCUGAUCACGAAACAACUACGACUAAAGAUACUUGAGGAGGAAUAUACACCUCAAAUAGACAUCCAGCCAACUCCAGAUUGCUAGAAGAUUAUGUUAACUAGGUUGAUGCUUAAUGUUACUUCCAAGGCUUCACGAUUUGCAUAACAAAACCCUAUUUAUAACAAGUUGAGAUGAAAAUUUAGGUAUUAUUAUGGUAUAAGCUUUAAAAACCUAAUGACUAAAUUAUUAUUAUCCCAGCUUUGUAAAAGCCUCAGUACAACUCUGCUAGCUUGAGUGUAAGAACUUUGCGGAAAAUCUACUUUAAAUAGCAUAGAUAAUUGCCGAAAUUAUCUUCUGAAGUGUGUCAAGCUGUGUGUGCAUGUUUUUCGAUUACACUACCUAGAAUAGGGAUUUCUACCAUGAGCUAUCUUGUCUGGAAAUAAAUCUUGACUGAAGUGAACUAUCUAUAAUUCAGACUGACUGUCCUUGUGAUAUGUUUUUGAAGUCAUUUGAUCUAAAGAAGUGUUUGUUCUUGUCGAUUUACAUGACUGGCAAUUGGAAACCAGUUAAGUAACUGAAGAAUGUACGUUGAAAGGAAUCUAAUGUAAGGACCCGUUUGGCCAUAGAUUUUCCCAAAAUAAAUUUGGGUUUUAUUUGGCAUACGCAUGUUUGGCUAUAAAUUUUGCCUAUAUUUUGGCAAAAUUCCAAAUCCCAAAACCAGCUCAAUAGCUGGUUUUGGACCAAAAUCACAAAACAUGUAUAAUAAUAUACAUGUUUUUCCAAAAUAAAUUUGGGAAAUAUGUUAUUGAAAACGUAUGUCCAAAACAUAUUUUCAUCUUCAAACCAAACUUCACCCAAAUCGGAUUUUUCAAAACAAAUUUGGGAAUCUAUGGCCAAACGCUAGCUAAGUUUCCAUUUUUUUUUUGGAAAAAAACAGAUUAUUGACACUGCGGAGAUAGAGAAAAUGGUAGAUAAGGUGAUUGCAUAUAAUCCAAAGCAGCAAGAACAAUACCGUGGUGGUAAAACUAAAUUGCAAGGUUUUUUUGCUGGCCAGGUGAUGAAGGAAUCGAAAGGCAAAGCAAAUCCAAAACUUUUGAACAAAAUCCUCUUGGAAAAAUUAAAUGCCACGAGCUGAUGUUGGCUGUUAUCUGUCACGUGCGAGCUCUGUUUAGUUCUUUCUUUUCCUGACCUUUGCUUCACUCUCUUAUCAUAUUGCUCAUGUUCCAUACGAUGUGAUUCAGUGAUUACAAUUGUAGCUGCUUACUUUCUUCCUUCAAGUGUAAUUAAAGUAUGCAGUUUUUUUAAGGAUUCAAUGUUAUUUCCAUAUUCCUGUUGAUGAAGCUAUUGUUCGCAGAUAUUUUUUUUACUUUAAAUGUGCUUGAUGAGAUUGAGAAGCUAAA